CGGGGCGGCGCGCGUCUGACAGAACCCAGCACCUGAGAAAGGAGCCCGGCGGCCGCGCCUACCUGAAGCGGUGGCAGUUGGCAGAGGGGCGACGGUGCUGGAGGUGCUGUAAAGUCAGGGCCACGGAGGGAGGCAGGAGAUGCUGGUUUGCGCAGCCUUUCCUAAGCCCUCCAGCCCGUGGGUAGUCUCUCCGUAUAUCCGGGCGGGGUGGGAUGCCGCGUCUUCCGUUGGGGUCCGCGGCGUUCGGGUCACGGCGGGGAGGGAGGCGUUGUGGGGACGUCAGUGUGAAGAUCGCGCUUUCGGGACGAUGGCGGUUCCUCGUGUUUAUGCGCAGCAUUUCCUGGCGCUUCCUGUGGGAGAUCUGUGACUCGGAGGCCCGGAGAGCGUCAGUGGGCGAGGCGGCCCGCGCAGGGGCAGCCUGAGGGGGACCCGAGGUCGCGCCGAUGUGCACAGGACGGGCGGCGGCCUGGGGCCUGGCAGUGGGGCUCCGGUGCGGGAGCCGGGCCUUUGCCUUUGCCGGGGGCGACUUCCCCGAACUUCAGCGUUGUCAUCCGUGAGGAGGCCGUUGUUCCAGUGGCGGGGCCCAAGAAUCCAGGCGGUAAACAGAGGCAGGAAACACAGACCUCCUAGGCAUCCGAUCUGUGUCACGGUCCGUGCCUGUGUGCCUACUGCUGAAUUGUUCGAAAACCCACAUCUGAUCGUGUCACUCAGCUGCCAAAACCCUUCAGUGCCUGUGAGAUGAGGGCCUUCGCAGGAGCCGGCCCCAGCCUCCCUCUCCAGUUGCACCUCCCCAGAUUUUCAGGAACGCCUGGUAACUUACCUCUCCCUGCAUAUACCUCUGCUGUGCGUAAUUUUUUUCUUAUUUACAGCGCUGAACUCAAUAUUAGACACAAGAUGGCACCAGAACUGUACUUAAGGCUUGCUUUUAAUAAUCUUUUUUCAAGAAUAUAAAAACAAUGUCUGUAAUUUAAGGGCAACAUCUGAAUUUUCCAAAAGAUAUCUGUAAGUUCUCCUUAAUAACAUAAACAUUUUUUGCCAACUGAAUAUUCUCACAUACCUUACAAAUUAAAAAAAAAUGACUCUAAAUAAUGAACAUAAUCACACCUAAAA